CGGCAGGCCUAACACAUGCAAGUCGAGCGGCAGCGGGAAAGUAGCUUGCUACUUUUGCCGGCGAGCGGCGGACGGGUGAGUAAUGCCUGGGAAAUUGCCCAGUCGAGGGGGAUAACGUAGCGAAAGUUACGCUAAUACCGCAUACGAUCUAAGGAUGAAAGCGGGGGACUCGCAAGAGCCUCGCGCGAUUGGAGCGGCCGAUAUCAGAUUAGGUAGUUGGUGGGGUAAAGGCUCACCAAGCCAACGAUCUGUAGCUAGUCUGAGAGGACGACCAGCCACACUGGAACUGAGACACGGUCCAGACUCCUACGGGAGGCAGCAGUGGGGAAUUUUGGACAAUGGACGCAAGUCUGAUCCAGCCAUUCCGCGUGCAGGAUGAAGGCCCUCGGGUUGUAAACUGCUUUUGUACGGAACGAAAAGGUUUCUAUUAAUACUAGGAGCUCAUGACGGUACCGUAAGAAUAAGCACCGGCUAACUACGUG
rnacentral:rRNA from 1 species